UACAGAGGGUGCUAGCGUUGUUCGGAAUCAUUGGGCGUAAAGCGCACGUAGGCGGCCUGUUAAGUCGAACGUGAAAUCCCCGGGCUCAACCCGGGAACUGCGUCCGAUACUGGCAGGCUUGAAUCCGGGAGAGGGAUGCGGAAUUCCAGGUGUAGCGGUGAAAUGCGUAGAUAUCUGGAGGAACACCGGUGGCGAAGGCGGCAUCCUGGACCGGCAUUGACGCUGAGGCGCGAAAGCCAGGGGAGCAAACGGG
rnacentral:rRNA from 1 species